UUUUUUUUAAAUAUUGUUCAAGGCUUUUAGCCUUUUCUUCUGUAAAGGAUGCGCUUAGUGAGUGAGGACUAAGAAAUGUUUAAAACACAUAAAGCAGAUACUAGGUGCAGACUUUCUCAGUAGGGAUUGCAUCAAGCACAACAGGCACAGUAUGGGUGCUGACAUCUCCAAGUCAUUCUGCAGAUCUAACCUUUUUUCCCGACACUUGUAGAGUUUAUCCUUGUUAUGGUAUAUUUUACAGAACAAAUAGCCAGCAGGGGUUGUCAGGUGUUACAUACUGCUAUGUAUCUCUGCAGAAGGUUUUAAGCAAUCCUAGUACUUGUUAUUCUGGCUUUGUGGGGAGACCCACCUCUGCAGUGAUAAGGUGGGUCAGAUUAACCAGGCAACAGGCUGCCAGAUACAGGCAAACACUAUAAAACAAAUUCUUUAUACUCUGUUUUUAAACUCAUAUUUUCAUGUCAGGGGUCUAGUGUUGGUGUGGGUACUGCUUCAAAAUAUUUUUUGUAAGCAGUUUUAAUGAGUAACAUUUUAAAAUAUUAAUUGCACACUCUUCAGUGAAUGUAAGAUGGUGAACAGUACUUUGUGAAGUGCGUUACAACUAGGAUCUUGCCCUGGAGUGAUGAGGAGAGGCAGUGGGGUCUGCCAGCGGCAGUUUUUCCUGUUUCAGGAGGUGCAGACAGUCCUCCACAGAGCCACGGGGAUCACACCUGCAGCCUAAGGAAGGCCCAAGACAUGGACCUGCUUUACUGAGCAUUUGCCAUCUUUGACUUCCAAGUGGCUGUGGCUAGGAAAAGUGUAGUUUUUAUAGGUCUAAAUUAAAAGAUCCAUUGAGUUUGAAAAUGUCUUCUAAUUCUGUCCUUUUUUUAAAGAAGGCUUGGAAGACUUGGGAUACUACAUGCCAGUUCCAGGCUAUGGCAGCAAGUGGAAGCAUCAACACCAGUACCACAAAACUCAGCCCUUGUAACGCCCACCCAGCUUGACUGAGCAUUUCUGUCUGGAAGCAUCUUUGGAGUGGCUUUCUUCUGAGAUACAUGGUACUUCCUGCUUUUGCUUGACCAUCCUAGAAAUUUGGAGAACAUCUUGACUUCAAAGAUUCACAACUGAGCCCCCCAUACAGGACAUAUGAUUCCUGUUCCAGUGAUUUUCCUCAGUGAGAAGACUCUGUGCCCACAGCAAACCACUGUUCAGGAUCCAGGAGCAGCCCUCCACUGCAGGCCUAGUGCUAACCUCAGCGACAGCUGCCGAAACACCGUGAUCACACGUUCCCAGCGCCUUGUUCUGCCAGCAGUGGGAACAGCCUACAGGCUCCAGAGGAAUUAAACCCCUGCUUGUUAACUGCUGCUUGAAGAAGAAUCAUUUGGGUCUGUUGAUAACAAAUGAGGAUGUGCUAGCAUGGAAAGUUCUGCUGCCCAAAUGACUUUUGCUUUACACACAGACGUGCAUUCAGGAAGAAUGCUACAAGAGAAGUGCACCUGUGAAAUGAAGAUUAUCCCCUUUUCUUGAAAUCAUCCUUUAGCUGCUGGCAAUUCACAGGACCCCAUUUCUACAAAGGACUGACCACCCUCUACCAGACAGAGAACCACUGAAGAAAUAGUAAACAAGAAAACAGAGGUUUUGGCUAUUAGUAGAGGCCUCAGAGCUGCUUUUUUAAAAAUUUUAUUUGUUUGUCUUUCUUAGCAAAUCUGGAUAAAUGUUUUUAAACAGGGUAAUGCAGACAAUGGGGCAGAAUCUGUUAUGAGUCAUCACUUUCGUUCUCAGUCAAAGUUCUGUAUUUCUCAGCUUUUCAGCAUCCUAGAUAUAUCCCCCAUGGAGGCCACACUGGUGAUACUAUUAUUGCUGGUUUCACCCAAGAAAUUUAGUGCAUUUCUUUAAGGGGGAAUUGAAACUCAAAAAAAAACUUCCCAGAUAUCCAAGGACAAGUCAGUGGCUGAAGCUGUUUGCUUGUUUGUGCAGCUGCAAGGAAGACACACUUCAGAGAAAGACAAUCAAAAUUAUAAUAUGACAAGUAAUUUAUUGCUGUAUUGUAAUUAAAUGCAAGAUCAUAACAUGCAAGCAAUACUGUAAAUUAGAUAGUAAUGGAUAAAAGAGACUGGCUUGUUAUUUUCAGCAUAGAUAACUAAAGUUCCCCAGGCAUCUGAUUCCCAUGAGGUGCCAAAUGAAGCAAGGUGUUAAUUCAAUCUCAUAUCCUCUCUGUUUUUCCAGGAAGUUUAAAAUAGCUCUGCAGGGACAUUUCAGACAGGCACAUUUUAAUAGUUUGCAAAUGCAUAGGUUCUCUUUGCCUUAUCCAUAACAAUAAUUGCUAAAAGAAGAGAGUUGUUUAGAUUUCUUGUAGCCAACAUAUCAUUUGGAAUAUGGUUAGGAUAUCUAGCACUGAAUAAUUUUGCAUAUUAUGACAUCUAACACUGAAAAAAGAGUGUUAAUAUUAGGAGUGGCAGCCACAGCAAUGUAAUCUAAUACAUUAAAAAAAAAAAAAAAAAUCUUGCAAACCAUCUUGCAAACCUACUGACCUGUGGGGAUAAAAAGGCAUUAAAACAACCUUUAAUUUUUUCUUAAUGUAAACCCAUUGAAGGAACAAUUUGUUCCCUGCCUUUGGAGGAGAAUUAAAUAAAUAAAUAAAUAAAUAAAUGUAGUAUUGCUAGAAAAAGUCCAUCAGAAUUCUUUGUCUCUGGGAAAAAAAUCUUGCAGAAGAUGGUACUUUUUGACAGUUCUUCACCAAUUGGGAAACCCCAGGAAAGAAAGUAUGAAUCAAGUUAAAGCAUUUUCUUCGUGCUAAAUUUGAAUUGCAUCAAACAAUGUGAUUGAUAUGCAUUGAAAGGGGAAAGAAUUAAGUAUAGCUGAACUUCAAAUUAUGUGUGCAACUUUAUACCAGACGUGGUACUGCAGAAGGUAUCGCACAGCUUCCAUUGAUAUACAUACCUUGCUAAAGGCAAAAGCCACAGAUGGUUACCAUUGGUGGAGGGAUUUCUUAUCAUAUUCUUUGCUUGAAUGGGAAUUUGGUUAAGAGAUUGAAAAUUAAUCAGUUAGAGGUGAUAUCCACAGAAGGUAUUUACAGGUAUACUGAUUCACCGGACUCCAAUUAGGUGCCAAGGCUGUAUGGGGAGAGUCUGGCACAUAAAAAUAGGCUUUGCAAAGGCUGACAUAGUGCCUGGAUAGCCACCAAAGGCAGGUAACAGGAAAUGUUGAGCACAAAAUCCCAGCUUUCUCUGGAGUUUUAUUGUAUUUGUACCCCUCGCCUGACCUGGAGUAGCACGUAGGAAUACCAAGCAAAGUGUGUGAAUGAGACAUUAAAGUAAGGUUUAUUUGGAAGGAGAAUGAUAGGGGUCUAUUCCCUGCUUGGCUUAGCAUAAGUAGAGAAUUGUUAAUCAGAGCAGUCUGAAAUAUUAAUCUCUCCCCUUCCAGGCAAAUUCCCUAACCUCAAGGCCAAUGGUUUAACAAGAACUUAAUUACUCCAUUCAAAAUGAAACAGUUUCCACAGAAAUAUUCGGAGGCUUCUCUCAUCCCAGAAUUCCCCAAGGCAUCCUCCAGAAAUUUUUGGAGAGAUAUUUUUAAGCCAGAAUUCUGUUGGACAAAGGAAAGAAAAGAAAACAGGUUUUUCAAGUCCCAAGGGAAUUAUAACUGUUGAGGUGUUGGGUAAAAGCAUGAAAGCAAGAACAAAAGCCAGUAUGUAAAGAACAGUCAAGAACUCCAUGAAUCUUCAGAUCUAAAUUUUUCAUGGAACACAUGAAAUAUGGGGACCACAGUCCCAAAGGCUCCUCUGAGACUCAUUGUGGAAUAAAAUUUUGAAUAGAGA